UACAGAGGGUGCAAGCGUUAAUCGGAAUUACUGGGCGUAAAGCGAGCGUAGGUGGCUUGAUAAGUCAGAUGUGAAAUCCCCGGGCUUAACCUGGGAACUGCAUCUGAUACUGUUAGGCUAGAGUAGGUGAGAGGAAGGUAGAAUUCCAGGUGUAGCGGUGAAAUGCGUAGAGAUCUGGAGGAAUACCGAUGGCGAAGGCAGCCUUCUGGCAUCAUACUGACACUGAGGUUCGAAAGCGUGGGUAGCAAACAGGAUUA
rnacentral:rRNA from 1 species